UUCGAACGAGAGACGCAUACUCGUCACGCAUACUGAUAAAUUAAUUUACCUAUAUCUAGCAAGUUUAUCCGAACACCGACAUAGAGCAAAUGAAGGGGCGAGGAGGAGAUGAUAUUUGUAAUCACCAAUGAAUGCAGGGUCGGAGCUCGUAGAAUGCACAGGGAGGUCUUCGCACAGCAAACCUCAUAGCGAUGAAACAAGUGUCACAUGUAAAUCCACCCGAUCAACACAAAUAUUUUGUGUUCACCGAUAAAAUCGAAAAAUAUAUGACCUAACACAAAUAUAUGACCUAAAAAAUGAGCCUAAAAGGUUUCACGCUUUUUGCACAGGCAAAUCCAUAAAAGGCGACCCUUGCAAAUGGUACUUAAGUGCUAGUUGGAAGAGGGACAAAAAUUGUGUGAUGGUAAUAACUUUUUUUGUGAUUUCUACUCUUAUUCCUUCAUAUUGUUUGUCAUGAUAAUAAACUUCAGAUUUUGUGCCUUUUUUUGCUGCAGGUUGCGAAGCAUCAAACUGAGCACAUUUGUAGUUCAACGAGUGGAAAAGUGACAAGUAUGACAACUCAAUCUUGGGUGACUGAUAGGGCAGCGGCUAUGUUGAAGAAAGAUCCAACCAUUGGUGUUGUGAAGAUAAUGAGCAGCCCAUAUAUUAUUAUGUGGGAUAUGUGGGUUUAGUGGGACACCCACAUAAUUAACUAUUUUUAACACGAGUGAAAUAUUCCCACAAGACAUAAUGUUUCAGACUGUACUGUUAUGCAGGUUCCUCUAGAUUCAUACGGAGUGCAGGCGCAUAAUUCUUGUGCCUUGAGAAGACAAAGAAUACUCUCUGUAACUCUUGCCAUUAGCAUAGCUCAGUGCUUUGGUUUUGAGGGAAGCCAAUUUUGCAGGUUGCGCCUCAAAUUGGCUUGCUAGGGGCACAGUUGACUUGAUCACACUCACGCAUGCAAGAUGCAAUCAGGAGCUACCCAUCAAAUAAUUGUCCUAGUGAACAUCGAUCGUUGAUGGGGAUCGAUCUGUUGAUGAUGAGAAUACAAUUUGAAGGGGGAUGCAAGUGAGAUUGUCAAUAUGCUCUUGGGAUUCAGGAAGGGCACACGCACUAUCCUCUCGCUCAUUCAACAAGCAAAGAAGCACGC
rnacentral:lncRNA from 1 species